CCUACGGGAGUCAGCAGUGAGGAAUAUUGGUCAAUGGACGAGAGUCUGAACCAGCCAAGUAGCGUGAAGGAUGACUGCCCUAUGGGUUGUAAACUUCUUUUAUAUGGGAAUAAAACGUUCCACGUGUGGGAUUUUGUAUGUACCAUCUGAAUAAGGAUCGGCUAACUCCGUGCCAGCAGCCGCGGUAAUACGGAGGAUCCGCGCGUUAGCCGGAUUUAUUGGGUUUAAAGGGAGCGUAGGUGGAUUGUUAAGUCAGUUGUGAAAGUUUGCGGCUCAACCGUAAAAUUGCAGUUGAAACUGGCAGUCUUGAGUACAGUAGAGGUGGGCGGAAUUCGUGGUGUAGCGGUGAAAUGCUUAGAUAUCACGAAGAACUCCGAUUGCGAAGGCAGUUCACUGGACUGCAACUGACACUGAGGCUCGAAAGUGUGGGUAUCAAACAGGAUUAGAUACCCCUGUAGUC
rnacentral:rRNA from 1 species